UUCAACAUCAUAUCUGGAAAAAACGAGAAAAAAAAACAAAAAACAAAACAAAAAAAAAACGUUUAUUUGUGUUUAAAUUCAAACAACACAGACUAAACCUGAUUGGUUCCAGAGCCAUUGAACGGCUCUGAUUGGUUCGUAUGAUAAUGAGCUCGCAGCAGAGAGCUUCGUAAAUCAAAUAUGAUGUGCGUGAAAAUGUCCCUUGAAUGUGCAUAUAAGUCUAAAUUUAAACAGUAUUAUAUAGAGCGAUCGUGUCUCUUUAGGGCGCUUGGAGGAAACCACGCAAUUCAUAUGGAUUACUUUUUUUGUUUUUUUUGCGAUUAACUUUUUGAAACGUGAACAUCUUUGAUUAAUCUUUUCAUUGGAGGAACAUAAAUCUCUCAGGUUUCAUUAAAAAAUCUCCGCUUUUUUUUUUGAAGAUGAACGAAAGUCUUAGAUGGUUUGGAGCAUCUUAAGGCUUCUGCAAGUGUGUAUGGCGUCUGGCUUUAUACCUCACUGUGACUUCAGAUAAGAACAAAGAUUAAAUUGUAAGAAGGGCUGCUUGUAAGAGCAUACAGUACAUCUGAAACUGCUGAGGCUGGGAAGGUUUUUGACUAUAUUUCAGACCAGAUCAGCUGCUAUAGAAGACAAACUGAAAUCUGAGUGCAGAGACAAGCAAAGGAAUACUGCAAGGCACUUGUGCAAAAUAUUGUAUGCCAGGACAACAAGGCUGUGCCCAGGUCUCCGGAACCUGCAACGGCGCUCAGCUCCAUUGGCCCUCCGUCUGCGCCUUCGGGUCCACCAGCUCUAUCUCCAUCAGUCGGCCCCCAGAUGUCGGCAGCCACACCAACCACAUCUUGACUCCUCGCUCCCUCGAUUCCGCCGUGUGUUGUCAGCACUGGGAUGCUCUGGGUCUGUGCCAUGUGCCAAACUCCAUCUAAGCCGCCAGGGCAUCAUCGUCAUCCUCCCAUCACCAUCCCUUCACCACAUCCUGCCAUCAUUCCGCACCUUUGCCUCUCACCAUUCCUACACCAUCUCCUCGUCCACCUCCAAAACCCCCUCCAUUCCUCCCUAUUCUGUUGCUUUAACUUUAUCAUCUUCAG